rnacentral:rRNA from 1 species
CCUACGGGAGGCAGCAGUGAGGAAUAUUGGACAAUGGGUGAGAGCCUGAUCCAGCCAUCCCGCGUGCAGGAAGACGGCCUUAUGGGUUGUAAACUGCUUUUAUAUAGGAAUAAACCACUUUACGAGUAGAGUGUUGAAGGUACUAUAUGAAUAAGCACCGGCUAACUCCGUGCCAGCAGCCGCGGUAAU